UCCCUCCCUUCUGCAGCACAUAUUCUAAAAUUGGAAUGAUACAGAGAAGAUUAGCACUGCUCCUGCACAAGGAGGACACACACAUUUAUAAAGUAUUUCAUAUUUUU
rnacentral:snRNA from 1 species